UGCUUUUCUCAUGCUGGGCUGCUCUGAACAGACUGAUCUUGUCCACUUUCUGAAGCUAAGCAGGAUCAGGUCAGGUUCGUACUUGGAUGGGAAACCGCCAGGGUGCUGUACGGAUAACAACGACAG
rnacentral:rRNA from 1 species